rnacentral:rRNA from 1 species
AAUCAACGCUGGCGGCGUGCCUAACACAUGCAAGUCGAACGAGAAAGUGGAGCAAUCCAUGAGUACAGUGGCGCACGGGUGAGUAACACGUGACUAACCUGCCUUCGAGUGGGGAAUAACCUCGGGAAACCGGGGCUAAUACCGCAUAACAUCAUCGGGUGAAAUUCCUGCUGAUCAAAAGUUUUUUGCUUGAAGAGGGGGUCGCGGCUGAUUAGCUAGUUGGUGGGGUAACGGCCCACCAAGGCAGUGAUCAGUAGCCGGCCUGAGAGGGCGGACGGCCACACUGGAACUGAAACACGGUCCAGACUCCUACGGGAGGCAGCAGUGGGGAAUUUUGCGCAAUGGGGGAAACCCUGACGCAGCAACGCCGCGUGGAGGAUGAAGUCCCUUGGGACGUAAACUCCUUUCGAUCGGGAAGAAUAAUGACGGUACCGGAAGAAGAAGCCCCGGCUAACUUCAUGCCAGCAGCCGCGGUAA